UCAAAACUGCUCUCUCAAAAGACAUGUUCAACUCUGUCAGUUGAGGACACACAUCACAAAGAAGUUUCUGAGAAUGCUUCUGUCUAGUUUUUAUGGGAAGAUAUUUCCUUUUUCACCAUAGGCCUCAAAGCGCUCCAAAUGUCCACUUCCAGGGAAUGGAAAAAGAGUGUUUCCAACCUGCUCUAUGAAAGCCAAUGUUCAACUCCGUGACUUGAAUGCAACCAUCACAAGGAAGUUUCUGAGAAUGCUUCUGUCUAGGUUUUAUAUGAAGAUAUUCCCGUUUCCAACGAAAUCCUCAAAGCUAUCCAAAUAUCCACUUGGAGAUUCUACAAAAAGAGUGUUUCAAAACUGCUCUAUCAAAAGAAAGGUUCUACUCCGUCAGUUGAGGACACACAUCACGAGUAAGUUUCUGACAAUGCUUCUGUCUAGUUUUUAUGGGAAGAUAUGUCCUUUUUCACCUUAGGCCGGAAAGCGCUCCAAAAGUCCAGUUACAGACACUACAAAAAGAGUGUUUCAAACCUGCUCUGUGAAAGGGAAUGUUCAAUUCUGUGACUUGAAUGCAAACAUCACAAAGAAAUUGCUGAGAAUGCUGCUGUCUGCUUUUUAUACCUUAUCGCGUUUCCAACGAAAUCCUCAAAUCCAGCCAAAUAUCCACUUGCAGACUCCACAAAAAGAGUGUUUCAAAACUAUACUCUCCAAAGAAAUGUUCAACUCUGUUAGUUGAGGACACACAUCAGAGACUAGCUUCUGAGAAUGCUUCUGUCCAGUUGUUACGGGAAGAUAUUUCCUUUUUCAACAUAGGCCUGAAACCGCUUCAAAUGUCCACUUCCAGAUACUGCAAAGAGAGUGUUUCAAACCUUCUCUACGAAAGGGCAUGUUCUCCUCUGUGACGUCAAUGCAAACAUCCCAAAGAAGUUUCUGAGAAUGCUUCUGUCUGGAUUUUAUCUGAAGACAAUCCCGUUUCCAACGAAAUCCUCAAAGAUAUGCAAAUAUGCUCCUGCAGAUUCUACAAAAAGAGUGUUUCAAAACUGCUCUAUGAAAAGAAAGGUUCGACUCUGUUAGUAGAGGGCACACAUCACAAACAAGUUGCCGAGAAUGCUUCUGUCUGGUUUUUAUGGGAAGAUAUUUCCUUUUCCAACACAAGCCUGAAUGCGCUCCAAAUGGACACUUCCAGAUACGACAAAAGGAGUGUUUCAAACCUGUUCUGUGAAAGGGAACGUUCCAUUCUGUGACUUGAAUGCAAACAUCACCAAGUAGUUUCUCAGAACGCUGCUGUCUGCUUUUUAUAUAUAUUCCCGUUUCCAACGAAAUCCUCAAAGCUAUCCAAAUAUCCACUUGGAGAUUCUACAAAAAGAGUGUUUCAAAACUGCUCUAUCAAAAGAAAGGUUCUACUCCGUCAGUUGAGGACACACAUCAC